GAGGAGUACUAAGAGUGGGCAUCCUUGUCUUGUUCCCAUUCUCAGAGGGAAUGCUUUCAACUUUUCCCCAUUCAGUAUUAUGUUGGCUGUGGGUUUGUCAUAGAUGGCUUUUGUUACAUUAAGACUGGAAAAGAAUGGCCCAGAUCCUCUGGACUCCUCAGAUGAGCGGAUUCAGAGAGAAGCUUUUGAGAGCGUGCUGGCGGAGACAUUUUUCACAAAAGAGCCCUUGCGGUGCUGGUGUCCGUGGCGUGCCUGGGAAGGCCCACCAACGCUGGCCGGCCUCCAAGCACCCGGGCCUCUGCUCAUGUACAGCUCCUGAACUGCCCUGCCUCUGAGUUACUGUGGAAAAUGAGCUUAUAUAUGAAGAAGUCAGCGAGUGGACAAAGCCAGGCGCAAUGGAUAGCAAAGAUGUGGAAGUCUCCUCGAUUCAAGUUACAAGAAAACCGCAGCAUGGAGUCUGCUCUCAGCUGUUGGGGAAUUACCGAUGCCUUUGACUAAGUCAAGACUGACUUUUCCAGAAUAUCACCCAAGAGAUAGAGCCGUCCCUGUCCAAGUUUGUGCGCUAGCCCUUCAUGGAGGUCAGAGAGGAAGAAACAAAGGCAGCUGUGGCCUCGGCGGUCACAGUGUCAGAACGCACAAGCCCCAUAAAGAGGUUUCACGCAGGCCACCCAUCCCUUUUCAUUCUCCAGCAGAACAGGACAGAGAGCGUUCUGUUCUGCGGAAGGUCUUCCACUCUACAAGGCAAUCCCUCCAGCUGCUUUGCUGUAUUGUGCUGUCUCCUGUCACACUAUGAAUGCAGUGACCUCAGCCAGCAACAGGGAGAACCCCCCUGCCUCCCGAACAAAGGACCUCACGUGAAAUCCUGAGCUCAGAGCUUACAGAUAUGUGUGCGCUUUCACUUUACAUCGGCCGUGACUUCCAAACAACUUCAGGAAACUUUAGGAUCUCUGAGGUAUACUGGAGAUGACAGCAGCGUAGAAUGUUCAUUUGGAUUUAGAACAGAAAUGCUUAUUUUAUAUUUGGCUGCUCCCAAACUGUCCCCAGACUUCCUCUCCAGUGGUUACCCUCCACUGCCCUGGAUGUCCCACGUUUACACUCCACACUCACACCUCCACCUUAACAAAGUCCUCCACUGGGUCAAACCAUACAUCGCUUCGUCUCUGUAGUGAUGACUUCCUGUCCUCUGCUCUGUGGAUAAAGACCCCAGAUAAAGAUGCCUGUGUUGCUCAACUCUUGUAAAUACUCUUGAGACAUUUUGAAAGCAGAAGGAAAGGAGACAGACGGGGAAAAUAAAAGGGAUGGUCUGCUUGUGCGGAAACGUUUUGAGAAUGCCCUUCCCUAAGAGAGAACAGUAAAAGUGAGCAAUACUUCCUGAGCUGUGGGUUCAUAUGGCUGGACUGUGCUGUUUCUCACGGGAGAAGUUCUCGUCUCCCCUGCGUGUACAUCCCUGUUUGCCAGCCUGGCCUUCGGUGUGGUGAUAUCAUGGUGCACUCCCAGGAGGGAAGUGCUUGGUCAAGACUUCUGCUUGGGUUCGACUAUCAGUUCUGGUUUCCUUUAAGGCACAGGAUCUUCCCUUUAAGGCACAAACACCCCCUUGACACAAAGUAAGGGACAAGGGAACUUUAAACCAUUUGGAAACCCAAGCACAAUAGGCUGUAGGUUGUAAAAAGAAAUUACAAAGGUAAUUUUAUCCAGAAGAGGGAGCAGUUUAACUUCUGCAGGGUAAGAUUCAGAUUCACUUUUGUAACUGAACAGGGAAUUUUCUAAAUAUUUUGAAAAUGCCGAAA
ensembl:lncRNA SERPINB9P1 serpin family B member 9 pseudogene 1